AUGCUUACGCGGUUUGGAGCACGUCUUUCUCGCGUGCGCGGUCUUGCUCGCUCGCUCUAGAUUCCGGGAGAUUUUAAGUAAUUUGCGGGCAUCAGGGAGUCGCUAUCAAUAUGCGGGAGACUCCCGGAACUUCCGGGAGACUUGGGAUGUCUGCAUGUUUUGAGUUUACCUCAGAUGAAGAACUCGGAGGUUAUUGUGUUGGGGUAAAUUGAUUUCUGAUUUUGGUGUGUAUUUGUGGUUUGUCUGUUGUAUAGAUACCUCACCCCUCACUCCUGAAAUGGUAGUAGGGCAACCCACUCCAGAAGUUGUCAGGAGUUUUGUUCCGGACAAAUCUAGGUGGAGCAAGCCACUGAGUUUGUCCCAGCAUGAACAGGUAUCAAUAUAUACACCUGGUGAAGGGUUGCUGAUGACUACAUUGAUGUGGUCUUGUACUUGUAUAUAGUUAAUGUUGAACUUGUAUAAAAUGUUUAAAAUAUAUUUGAUUAUGCUUCUGACAGCUCCAAAACACUCUUGGCAUGAGUGAUGAGGAGGAGGUGGCAUACACUGAUGGCAUUGCAUUAACGAGAAAGGACUUCAUUACACUUGCUAAUCCUGUAGAAGUUGACGGAAACUUAAGAAUAUCAUGACAUACUAACAGUUUAACAGUGAAGUACAGUGCUUUGUGGUAUAGUGUCCCUUUUUUCCAAUAGGUGCUGAAUUUUGGGUUUCCAGCUUCUACAAAGAAUAGCUAGUCAACAGGUAGCAAAGAUCUUUUUAACAGUUUUGGAACACUCAAGUCAGCAUAUUUUGCUCACAUCCACACUGAUACCUAAAAUACUUUUUAGAACAUUGACAUCUUUGCUGCUAAUUGCCAUGUGACUCUCACCUGGUUGCCCCCAUAUUCAGCAGACCCCAUGGAUCACUUCCCUGUUGAUGUGAAAAUGCAGGACGCUGUGCUCCUUCCAUCAUGGAAACCAGGUCAUUCGAUGAUACGUGUGAGUUUGUAUUAAAUUAGUGCUUCGUGUUUCCCAUUUAUGAGAUGGAUAUCAGUUAUGUUUUGUACAUGUUUCUUCAUGUUCCAUCAUUCGGGGGUGCACCAUUUCAGAUCUUGAAGCCCAAACAGAAACAAAUAUUUUUCCUCAACUCAAUGGGAGGCCCUGGCAUUGGUGAUGCCGCUUACACAGCUAAAUACAGGUUAUUUGUAGGGAAUGUUCUUGCGUGAAAGGUUCAAGGUUCACUUUUACUUGCCAGUUCAUUUGGUUCUAUAUACCAUAUGCCAUGCUGUCUUCAUCCUAAAAUGCCCCCCCACCCAGUGUUUGUCAUGACUUGUGACAUGAAAGGAAUUCUGCAUCAGAGAAUCAUAAUUUUCCACCUGCUGAAAUGGAAACACCCAAGCAAGUGCUCAUGGCAUAUGGUAGUUAAUAUGGUUCCAUAAUCAUUACUCUGUCAUCUCUUUUUUUUCUUUGGAUCUUUUCUCUAUGGGGUAGUUCCUGUUCAAAACCCCAAGUUACAUUUCCCAGCAGUUAGAAAAUCUGAAGGACCUGCAUUGUAGUACAGUGCACAUCUGUGAUUAUAAUACUCCGUUUUUCUCCAUUCUUCAUUUUUUUUUUCAGAGAACUUUCUCAGGAGAUCAGUGAGGGUCCCUGGACAGAGUUUUCAUUUGACAACCUUGAGGGCAUUCCCAAGCAGAGAGGCUCUAAUAGUUGUGGGGUGUUCAUCCUAAUGUAUGCUGUCUACAUCGUCUUUGGCCUCUCUUUUGACUUCACGGAGGCUGUCAUCUGGCAAAAGCAGAAAAAGGAGGCCACAGACAACCAACACAGCAGGACAGUGUGCGGUGGAGGCCCUGACUGUGACUGUCCCCCCCUCCUUGUAAAAGACCAAGUGUGGAGACUACAAACAUCAUGUCAGACCUGACAACUGCAGUGGAGUGGACAAGGCGCCAUAUGACGCGGUUCCAGGGACGUGUCUCCUUUCCCACAAUUAUUCAUAUGACAGAGGCGGAAAAAGAGGAUGCACUGCGCAAGCUGAAAACCACAGAUGACCUGAUGACCCAUGACCUGGAGACUAAAGACCCCUUCUUGUUCAUUUUCACACACCAAGAGGACAUGGAGGUGUUUCUCCAAAAUUGUGUGGGUCAACAGCACCUCCACGUAAAUGCUAUGUUCGAUGGUGAACUUUAGUGCCUGUUAUUCUUAAGUUGUAUUUUAAAAUGUUAUGCGUUUCUGUGCAUCAAUGUUUCUUGUUUUGAUGUACCUUUGUUUACUUUAUAAAAACUGCCAUAUGUUUGUGUGCCGUGUGUGUGUAAUAUGUAGUUUUUU